CCCCGGUGCAUGAGUGGCGGACGGGUGAGUAACGCGUGGGCAACCUGCCCUGUACAGGGGGACAACACUUAGAAAUAGGUGCUAAUACCGCAUAACGGGGGGAGCCGCAUGGCACCCCCCUGAAAACUCCGGUGGUACAGGAUGGGCCCGCGUCUGAUUAGCUGGUUGGCAGGGUAACGGCCUACCAAGGCGACGAUCAGUAGCCGGCCUGAGAGGGCGGACGGCCACACUGGGACUGAGACACGGCCCAGACUCCUACGGAAGGCAGCAG
rnacentral:rRNA from 1 species